rnacentral:rRNA from 1 species
UACGGGGGGGGCAAGCGUUGUUCGGAAUUACUGGGCGUAAAGGGCUCGUAGGCGGCCAACUAAGUCAGACGUGAAAUCCCUCGGCUUAACCGGGGAACUGCAUCUGAUACUGGAUGGCUUGAGUUCGGGAGAGGGAUGUGGAAUUCCAGGUGUAGCGGUGAAAUGCGUAGAUAUCUGGAGGAACACCGGUGGCGAAGGCGGCAUCCUGGACCGGCAUUGACGCUGAGGCGCGAAAGCUAGGGGAGCAAACGGG